CAGUCGCCGCGGGAAUACGUAGGUGGCAAGCGUUGUCCGGAAUUAUUGGGCGUAAAGGGCUCCCAGGCGGUUUCUUAAGUCUGAUGUGAAAGCCCCCGGCUCAACCGGGGAGGGUCAUUGGAAACUGGGAAACUUGAGUGCAGAAGAGGAGAGUGGAAUUCCACGUGUAGCGGUGAAAUGCGUAGAGAUGUGGAGGAACACCAGUGGCGAAGGCGACUCUCUGGUCUGUAACUGACGCUGAGGAGCGAAAGCGUGGGGAGCGAACAGGAUUAGAUACCCGCGUAGUCCCUGUCUCUUAUAC
rnacentral:rRNA from 1 species